GACGAACCGUGCGAACGUUAUUCGGAAUCAUUGGGCUUAAAGGGCGCGUAGACGGAUGACCGCGUCGAGUGCUGAAAUCCCCCGGCUCAACCGGGGAACGGGCACCGAAACGGGUUGUCUCGAGUGGAGGAGGGGGACCUGGAACGUCCGGUGGAGCGGUGAAAUGCGUUGAUAUCGGACGGAACACCGAUGGCGAAAGCGAGGUCCUGGACUCCCACUGACGUUGAGGCGCGAAAGCCAGGGGA
rnacentral:rRNA from 1 species